CCAUAUGUUGUGUUUAGAUGAUGAACUAUUAAUGUACAGUAUGAUAAUUCAACAGACCUGUCUUGUUUGGAUCACUUUCAAACAAAUGCUUGUUUCUCCUCUUCUCGUCUGCUUUUGUUUCUUUCGCUUCCAUAUUCCGCUUCUGCUUGUUGCGAUAGUCUCCACCGGUGUUAACUUGCUUCACCAAACACAGCGUCAAUCAAGGCAUGUGUUUAAUAAUGUAUGAUUGUUGACUUUACUUUUGUUGGUGACUUGGAAAAAAGAAGAUCAAUUACAGGCAAUAUAAGUGUCUAAUUUACUCUUUUAAGUGGAAUUUAGAGCUUCAUUCCACGACAAACCAUCUUUGAAUCGGAUGGUUGUAGCUCUCUGCUUUCUUUACAAGGGCUGGGGUUCGGGUCAUGUGGCUCCUGUUUAGGUUUCUUUUUAGUAAUUGGAAUUCAGAGGUUCAUUCCAUGACAAACCAUCUUUGAAUUGGAUGGUUGUACCUCUCUGCUUUCUUUACAAUGGCUGACGCGUCCUUAGGGUUUAGUUUCUAAGCUCUUUGCUGUUUGGAUUCAGGAAAUGUACGGUCUUGCUUAAAAAAUCCAAGUUCCUUCAGUAUGAUAUGCCAAGGUUUUCUACGUAUCUGGUUGUCAUUUUGUUUAGAACACUUCUCUAGUUGCGAAAGUUGUGAAGGGUUAGCUUAAUUCAUGUCUUUCCAUGGGUUCUCCAGCAAUGCGGUUGUUCUGCUUCCCUUCCUGGUUACAUGAAAACAAUACUGAUUGGCAACAGGACAGUUUCAAUGUUUUAGAGUUAUUCCAAAGAUAUCUGAAUAUCUUUUUACAAGGUAUUAUAGUUGCUUUUCUUUGAAGUUAGAUUAAGUUGCAGCUGACUUGUUCUGAGUUCUUUUUUUGUUGUCUUUGCAGCCAAUAGUUAUUUGUAUGGUUCGCUAUUAUGUUCUGGGCCAUUCUCUAAUUCAAUCUGUGAUAUAAUUUUUUGUUUCAUUGCUGCUGAUUUUUCUUUUCCUAUUAGUGAUAAAAAUUUCUUGUCCAGUUAUUAUUUUCUUAAUUCAAUCAUAUAGAAGAGUUAUUCAUGCAAUUCUUUUGUUGUAUGUAUUGGUCUUGAACAGCUUGCAAACUGCAAGCCCUCCAGCUUAUCCCAGUGCUCAUUUAGUUGGAAAUGCUUUUGUUGAUCAGUACUACCAUAUUCUUCACCACUCACCAGAAUUGGUUUAUAGAUUUUAUCAGGAUUCAAGUGUGAUCCAUCUUGUGUUAUGUAAUGCACCAAUGUAUGCUAUAGAUGUGAAUCCAGAAAGCAACAUGCUAUAAAAUUGUUGUGAAGUCUAAAACUUAGACUGGGUGAUGGAACAAAAUAUUAGACACACCUGUUAGAUUGCAGCCAAACCUUAAAAAAGAUAAAGAUAACAACUGAAGUUACAACCUUCCGUUUUGGCAUCUUUCAUCACAAAUGAUAUUGACAUCUUCAAGAUGUCAGUAUCUGUUGACCAGUUGCUAUUAUCGUUUCCUACAAUUCAUAUAUAACUUUCUAACAUAUCAUGAACCUUCGAGCUAGAAAAUAUUGUGCAAACUUGCUGGUUUUUUUUUUUCGAAAUAAAAAGUGUAGAACUAUAUUAACUUGCUGGUUUUUCACAAGUUAAAUCACUUCAGGUGUUGAAGUCAGCGGAGAGUUCUUGCUUUACUCUGAUUUUUUUUCAUGUUUAUAGCAAUGAAGAUAGCUUUUGCAGGAUCCCCUCGUCAAGGAAACUAUAUAAGAUGGCCGUACUCUUGCUGAAACUACAGAGAUUAUUGGUGCAGAAGAGGGAAUAGCUCCAUAAUAGAGGGAUUACAAUAUUAAGAUGUUAUAUCAUUAUGAUCUUUUAUGGAUCAUCAAAGAUAUGUAGUUGAUUUAGGAAAUUAUUCUUAAUUUAAGUUUAUUAUUUCUUAUUUAGUUAAGAGUCCUUUUCAUUCCAUGCUUCCUAUUUCAUAUUCUAGAAAUCGUAAGAUAUCUAGAAACUGUGUUAAUAGUUUACACUACUCAAUUAUUAGGAAGAAUCUUAUGAAGAAAA